UCAAUGAUGAUACUGAGUCGUUAGGACUCCACAGCAUUAAACCCAGCUCAAUUGAUAUUUUUGUUUAUGAUAAGAAUUGUUAAAUUAUAUAUAUCUGAAAU